rnacentral:lncRNA from 1 species
GGCUCACUGAUAUUGCCAUGCGCGUACCCAUGUUUUUGGGAGCGCAGCCCCGCCAUCUGUGACUGGUUUGUUCAAGAUAAAUUGAAUGAAGAGACAAUUUUACAGUUUCCACUUAAGGGCAUAAAAGAGACAAUCUUAUAGUUUCCACUUAAGGGCAUAAAAGAGACAAUCUUAUAGUUUCCACUUAAGGGCAUAGAUGAUAUGACAUGACAGCGUAUUUAUAAAACGUGGAGAUUUGCUAUUUUUAGGUUACAACAUAGAUAAACACGAGUAUAGAUUAUCCGUAAAUCCCUACCGUCUAUUAUAGAUGUUAUUAAGAAAUGAGCAUUAAUAUUGAACGUAUACAGCAGUAUGCCUCAGUGCGAUGAUACAUCUUCAAGGCGGUGUCUAUUUGCUCAGAAUCCCAAGUUGAGAAUGGUUUGGAUCAGGCGGAUUGGGUGUGACAAGUAUUUUAUAACUUUACACUUAUUAUGAUUAUACUUAUUAUCGUAGAUUUUAAACUUAUCAACCCGAUAUCCUGGUACACAAUUGUAUGUCGGUAUAUAUUAUUGUGAUAUUCAUCCAACUGCCUUAAUAUAUAUCUGCAUUGAUAAUUGCACUUAAUUAAUUUAUUUGUUGUUACAUUGAAAUAUUUGUUUAUUUUCUUAAUCCUUGAUUCAUAACAUGCCUAUUUUGCUUCUUGAUCAAAGGUUUGUGGUUUGUAUAAUACGCUUUGCACAAAUUAAUGGUACUUGGCGUUUCGCCUAUUUAUUUACUGCAAUAAAAAAUUGAAAAUG